CCAUUGUAUGUAUAUGCCAAAUUUUCUUUAUAUAUUCAUCCGUGGUUGAAAAAAAAAUUUUUUUUAAGCAUCUCUUUCAAUCUUUGCAGACUGGCUUUGUGCUGGGGCAUUCCUUCAGCACCAAACCAGGAUAUUAACAACUCUGUCUUAGCCUCCACUUCUCGAUAACCCUGGACCUAGAGAUCUUCGAAAGGAAAAAGCUUAGGGUCCUCUCAGAUCUUUCCUGAAUGCGUGGCCUGCCCUGGGUAUGUACAUGACAUUCGAAAUCCCCAGUAUAAACAAGUAUUUCUUGAAUGCCCUAAUUUCCCAAAGAAACUCUCCCAGAUUUUCCUCCCAGGCUUUAUGUAAUAUAUUGUAUGUUUGAACCACAACUUUUGUCCCAGGGAGCUGUGGGUUUUUUGGUCAUCUCAGAAUGUUUUCAAGCAAUGCCUGCCACUUUUCUACUUUGAGUGGAUUCAGACUUGGAUAAAACAGACAAAUGCCUCAUUUUAGUCUUUCAGAUUGUUUCUGACCGGUUAGAAUAGACAAACGAAGUCAUUUGUGAAUAGGUCUGCCUUGCUCCCUCUGGAACCUGGGAUCUGGGUCCUAAAUUGGGAAAGUGGACUACUGUCUUCAAGAUCACCAUCAAGCUGAUGAGGGGGUGGGGCAAGGGCAAGUGAAAAUGCCACACCACUUUCCUGUCACUUUGAAGUUGCCCUUUCCUCAUUUCAGUGAUUUCCUGACUGAUGUAAGUCUUUUACUGUUUUCCAGAGUUCUGGCCAAGUUUCUGCUGCUUUUUCUCAAUGUAUCAGUAGAGGGACAGGAGUUUGGAGCUGUCUACUCUGCCGUUUUCCUUAUGUCACUCCACUUCUGAGUCUUUCCUAUCUUUGUGGAUAGCAGAGAUGUCGAUCUCGGAUAUGAUACCCUGUAAGGAUGGGGUCCUCCAUGAUGUGAUAUACAACUUAAUAUUCAUUGUAUGGUUUUAUGUCCCCAACAUGUCUAGUAACCAAGGAGUGGACAUAGGAGUGCCCCGCUCACUAGCACGCUCAGUGACACACUUGGGGAAUCUGUGCUUCGUGUCUACAGCUUUCGGCUCUGUGAGCUGAAGUCUUGGACUCUGACUGGUGACCAGUUAGAACCAUGGAGCAGCUCUACCUGGAUGGAAUGAACUUUAAGAAGCAGGUGGAUCUGAGCCAUGUACCCAUGGGUGGCUUGUGGAUGUUGCUGGCACCCUGCCUAAACAUUCAUCCUCCAAUUGCUUUGAGUGUUGAUGAAGGAAGUGCACAGUUGCCCUUUUCCCCAGAGAAUUGACCUUAGUGAAACAGAAGGCCCCCUUCUACCUCACACCCUUGGCUGAAGGGCACAAAAGGCCCCUGGUCUUGAGGUGGGACUAACUCUGUAGGGCAAUUUGCCUUCCAGAGCUUCCCUGGGAUGGGGUGGGGUGGUGAAGCCGGCCUUCAGCUGAGACCACAACCUUGCUGAGCUUCUUGUCUCCUGCCCCCCUCACUCUUCUGAGAAUGACCCUAAUUAAAUCAUUUGAACAAUGGCCUUCUCAGGGUCGGCUUCUAAGGAACCUGAUACAAAAUAGUCACAUAAAACCAAUGUGAUGGUGAACUUUAUAGUAUGUAAAUUCUAUCUCAGUGAGGCUGUUGUAUUUUUUUUUAAGUACUUACUAGUUAUUUACAGUAACUACAUUUUUUUAAGUUCUACCUCAUCAGGGUGUACAUUCCUGGGAACCCCUGGUCAGGUCAAACAUCUUACGUUGAACAUCGAAGUGUUGCUGAUUUAAAGGCGAAAUGUGCUUGUUCUUGAGGUCCCAAAUUAAUAAGUAAUUGAAUUCUUCUGAAAACCCUAAAUUCCACUGAAAUGGCCUCCAAGAUAGUAACUGAGAGUAAACAUGGGAUACUCUGCAACAGGUCAAGGCAGCUACCCCUCAUCAGUAAGGGUGAUGAUUUGCAGAUUCUUUUGUCUUUUUGCUCAGUACACACUUCAGAGCCACAAAGCACAUACAUUUACUCAAUGUUUAUGUAAUUCAGCCUUUACUGUAAAAAAGGAAACAAUAAAACCAAAACCCUAUUAAUAAACACAAUGCAAACAAUGCCCGAGAUUAUCAUAAAGACAUACUAGCAAGCCACAGGUACCAGAGGGGGGAACAGGCGUAUCUGCUAGCUCUCCUUGUGCAGUCCUCAGCCUCCCACAGGAGGCACAAGGUCCAAACUAUUCCU